CUCGUAGGCGGUCUGUCACGUCGGAUGUGAAAAUCCAGGGCUCAACCCUGGACCUGCAUUCGAUACGGGCAGACUAGAAUUCGGUAGGGGAGACUUGAAUUCCUGGUGUAGCGGUGAAAUGCGCAGAUAUCAGGAGGAACACCGGUGGCGAAGGCGGGUCUCUGGGCCGAUAUUGACGCUGAGGAGCGAAAGCGUGGGGAGCGAACA
rnacentral:rRNA from 1 species